rnacentral:rRNA from 1 species
GUAGGUGGCAAGCGUUGUCCGGAAUUAUUGGGCGUAAAGCGCGCGCAGGCGGUUCUUUAAGUCUGAUGUGAAAGCCCACGGCUCAACCGUGGAGGGUCAUUGGAAACUGGAGAACUUGAGUACAGAAGAGGAAAGCGGAAUUCCACGUGUAGCGGUGAAAUGCGUAGAGAUGUGGAGGAACACCAGUGGCGAAGGCGGCUUUCUGGUCUGUAACUGACGCUGAGGCGCGAAAGCGUGGGGAGCAAACAGGAUUAGAUACCCUGGUGGUCCACGCCGUAAACGAUGAGUGCUAAGUGUUAGGGGGGUUUCCGCCCCCCUUAGUGCUGCAGCUAACGCAUUAAGCACUCCGCCUGGGAGUACGGCCGCAAGGCUG